UGGGGAAUUUUGCACAAUGGGCGCAAGCCUGAUGCAGCGACGCCGCGUGAGGGAUGAAGGCCUUCGGGUUGUAAACCUUUUUCGCUCAUGGUCAAGCCGCAGCUUUGGGUUGUGGUGAGGGUAGUGGGUAAAGAAGCGCCGGCUAACUACGUGCCAGCAGCCGCGGUAAUACGUAGGGCGCGAGCGUUGUCCGGAAUUAUUGGGCGUAAAGGGUACGUAGGCGGUCUAUUAAGUCAGGUGUGAAAGCGUGAGGCUUAACCUCAUUAAGCACUUGAAACUGAUAGACUUGAGUGAAGGAGAGGAAAGUGGAAUUCCUAGUGUAGCGGUGAAAUGCGUAGAUAUUAGGAGGAAUACCGGUGGCGAAGGCGACUUUCUGGACUUUUACUGACGCUCAGGUACGAAAGCGUGGGGAGCAAACAGG
rnacentral:rRNA from 1 species